GACGAACGCUGGCGGCGUGCCUAAUACAUGCAAGUAGAACGCACAGUUUAUACCGUAGCUUGCUACACCAUACACUGUGAGUUGCGAACGGGUGAGUAACGCGUAGGUAACCUGCCUGGUAGCGGGGGAUAACUAUUGGAAACGAUAGCUAAUACCGCAUAAUAUUAAUUAUUGCAUGAUAAUUGAUUGAAAGAUGCAAUUGCAUCACUACCAGAUGGACCUGCGUUGUAUUAGCUAGUAGGUGAGGUAACGGCUCACCUAGGCGACGAUACAUAGCCGACCUGAGAGGGUGAUCGGCCACACUGGGACUGAGACACGGCCCAGACUCCUACGGGAGGCAGCAGUAGGGAAUCUUCGGCAAUGGACGAAAGUCUGACCGAGCAACGCCGCGUGAGUGAAGAAGGUUGUCGGAUCGUAAAGCUCUGUUGUAAGAGAAGAACGGGUGUGAGAGUGGAAAGUUCACACUGUGACGGUAUCUUACCAGAAAGGGACGGCUAACUACGUG
rnacentral:rRNA from 1 species